CCCAGCCCAGGGUUGCAGCCCCCUCCGCCCCAGAGGGAGCACACAGCUGAUAUAGUAGAGGUCGAAGGUUAGAAAGGCAAAGCUGAGCAGAAGCAUAAGUAAUUAAAAGUAAACUGGGAGUUUGGUGAAUUUAGGAUCUUUGCUGAAAAUGCACAACUAGGACUUUGCUUGAUAGAUAAGGCCGGAAAAGAUAAGAACUUUUAUCCUUGCCUCUGUCCUUGUAGAUAAUUUAGCUUGAAGUACCAUACGGGUAGCAUCACUAACGUAAACAUGAGAAGCACUAACAAGCCUUCCUUAUGAUAAGAUGGUACUAACGAGCACUCCUUAGGAUAAGUUGUUCAAAAUAUAUGAAGGACCAUACUGCGCAGAAUCCAUCAAGAGGGGUCAAGUAGCGGACAAGUGAGGAAAACUAUGGAAGACCACCAGAGGACUCCUGAAGACCACCAUUAGAACCUGAAUAUGCCUUCACAAAGGACAUUUACAUAUGCUAAUAAUUUCCCAGAAAAUUAAUGAAUAUGUAUAACAAUUCUCGGAAAUGUAAUGAAUAUGCAUACAGAAGUUGUAUAUAAACUAUAUGACUAGACCUGGCGGGUGUACACGAUGGGUGGAGCGAUCCCCUGUGUACCCAGCGCUGCAAUAAAGAAUGCCUGCUUUCUAAAACUCCAAGAUCGAGUCUUAGAGAGUUUCUGAACUGCCGAUUUACGGUAUCAGUUUUGGCGACCCAGAUGGGACCCUACUCCUGAACCUCAACGGAUCCUGGGAUCGCAGGGACCUCAGCCGGCACCGGGGGUUUCUUGGAGGGGACCUCGAUCCCUGGACCGAAGAGCUAGGAGUAAGAACCCUGGUUUCUCACCCUUUUCAACCUGGAGAUUGGGUUUAUCUCAAGUCCUGGACAUAAGAACCUUUACAGGAGAAGUGGAAAGGACUCUAUCAAAUUUUAUUGACUACAUACACAGCAGUAAAAUUGAAUGGAAAAGGACCUUGGAUCCAUUAUUCAAGAAUUAAGAAAGCAACUCCUGAAUGGAAAGUGGAACAAAAAGCUCCACUGAAAUUGAAAUUAACGAAAGGUGUCUGAUCCAUGUUGAUGCUUAUUGUGUAAAGAGAAAUGUGGAAAUUAUACUUCCUUGUUUAUCUAAGUCAGAUGAUUAAAGGAAAUGCUAUUGCUGACCGCCCCACAGGAUUUCACAGCUUUGUUAGAUGGUUCUUACCUUGGUUAGGGGUAAGUGAAUUGGAGAAAACUUUAGUGAACUUUUCGGCAGUCAUUGAGAAGAUAGAGAACUAUACAGUGGAUGCUAUCCAAGCCUUCCAAGUUGAAGUUUCCAGUCUAUCUAAAAUGGUUCUCCAAAACAGAAUGGCACCUAGCCUCUCAAGGAGGGGUAUGCCCAGUCAUAAGCACCAGUUGUUGUGUUUAUAUAGAUCAAACAGGGAGGAUUACUACUGAUUUGGAGGAAAUAUGGAAACAAACCCAACAAAUUCAUAGAGUAGCCAUGGAUGACACGUCCUGGGGAUUUGAAGAAAUCUGGGAUAAAUUAACUUCAUGGUUACCGGGACUAAAAUGGCUAAAACAAAUGUUUUUUAUAAUAACACUUACCAUCAUUGUCAGUAUUACUGCUUGUGUAUUAUUGUAUUGUUGUAAAUGCAUUACCAAUCAAGUAUUCUGAGAAAAAGAUUAGUGAAUAAAAUAUUCACCAAUUUUAAAGGAAAAGGGUGGAUUGAUAUAGUAGAGGUCAAAGGUUAGAAAGGCAAAGCUGAACAGAAGCCUAAGUAAUUAAAAGUAAACUGGGAGUUUGGUGAAUUUAGGAUCUUUGCUGAAAAUGCACAACUAGGACUUUGCUUGAUAGAUAAGGCCGGAAAAGAUAAGAACUUUUAUCCUUGCCUCUGUCCUUGUAGAUAAUUUACCUUGAAGUACCAUACGGGUAGCAUCACUAAUGUAAACAUGAGAAGCACUAACAAGCCUUCCUUAUGAUAAGAUUGUACUAACGAGCACUCCUUAGCAUAAGUUGUUCCAAAAUAUGUGAAGGACGAUACUGCGCAGAAUCCAUCAAGAGGGGUCAAGUAGCGGACAAGUGAGGAAAACUAUGGAAGACCCCAGAGGACUCCUGAAGACCACCAUAGAACCUGAAUAAGCCUUCACAAAGGACAUUUACAUAUGCUAAUAAUUUCCCAGAAAAUUAAUGAAUAUGUAUAACAAUUCUCGGAAAUGUAAUGAAUAUGCAUACAGAAGUUGUAUAUAAACUAUAUGACUAGACCUGGCGGGUGUACACGAUGGGUGGAGCGAUCCCCCGUGUACCCAGCGCUGCAAUAAAGAAUGCCUGCUUUCUAAAACUCCAA